UACGGAGGGUGCAAGCAUUAAUCGGAAUUAUUGGGCGUAAAGGGCGCGUAGGCGGAUUUGUAAGUCAGAUGUGAAAUUCCAAGACUCAAUUUUGGAGCUGCAUUUGAAACUACAAGUCUAAGAGGGUAGACGGAGAAAACGGAAUUCCACAUGUAGCGGUGAAAUGCGUGGAAAUGUGGAAGAACACCGGUGGCGAAAGCGGUUUUCUAGUUUAUACCUGACGCUGAGGCGCGAGAGCAAGGGGAGCAAACAGG
rnacentral:rRNA from 1 species